rnacentral:rRNA from 1 species
UACGAAGGGGGGCUAGCGUUGCUCGGAAUUACUGGGCGUAAAGGGAGCGUAGGCGGAUAGUUUAGUCAGAGGUGAAAUCCCGGGGCUCAACCUCGGAACUGCCUUUGAUACUGGCUGUCUUGAGUAUGGGAGAGGUGUGUGGAACUCCGAGUGUAGAGGUGAAAUUCGUAGAUAUUCGGAAGAACACCAGUGGUGAAGGCGACACACUGGCCCAUUACUGACGUGAGGCUCGAAAAGCGUGGGGGAGCAAACAGG